UACAGAGGGGGCAAGCGUUAUUCGGAAUUAUUGGGCGUAAAGGGCGCGUAGGCGGUCGUGACAAGUCACUUGUGAAAUCUCCGGGCUUAACUCGGUAGCGGCCAAGUGAUACUGUCGGACUAGGGUGCGGAAGGGGCAACUGGAAUUCUCGGUGUAGCGGUGAAAUUCGUAGAUAUCGAGAGGAACACCGGUGGCGAAGGCGGCCUUCUGGACAGUUACUGACGCUGAGACGCGAAAGCGUGGGGAGCAAACAGG
rnacentral:rRNA from 1 species